GCGCAUCUCAUUAUUUUUCUCCUUUUCACACAUCACAUGACUAUCUUUACAGUGUCUUGUCUUGCUUCUUCUAUCACAUUUUCUUUCAUUAAUCCUCUAAUACGCUUCCAGGACCAAUUUGCAGAAGAAGUGGACCCCUUUAUUUACUUUAUGCAGUAGUACAAGUCUUUAGCAAGUCCACUCAAAUCUCUCAUUUAGUGGAAGUGAGGCAUGGCUUGGAUUUCUCACCAACAUCUGUAAUUCUUAGAUCCGCAGGUAAUUUGGAGUGGUAACUCAAAUCUCUUCA